rnacentral:rRNA from 1 species
AACGAACGCUGGCGGCAUGCCUAACACAUGCAAGUCGAACGAGACCUUCGGGUCUAGUGGCGCACGGGUGCGUAACGCGUGGGAACCUGCCCUUAGGUUCGGAAUAACUCCCCGAAAGGGGUGCUAAUACCGGAUAAUGUCUUCGGACCAAAGAUUUAUCGCCUUUGGAUGGGCCCGCGUUGGAUUAGCUAGUUGGUAGUGUAAAAGCCUACCAAGGCGACGAUCCAUAGCUGGUCUGAGAGGAUGGGCAGCCACACUGGGACUGGGACACGGCCCAGACUCCUACGGGAGGCAGCAGUGGGGAAUAUUGGACAAUGGGCUAAAGCCUGAUCCAGCAAUGCCGCGUGAGUGAUGAAGGCCUUAGGGUUGUAAAGCUCUUUUACCCGCGAUGAUAAUGACAGUACCGGGAGAAUAAGCACCGGCUAACUCCGUG